UGUCCAAGUUCGCAGACUUGCAGCUUGUCUAGUACGAACAGUCCUUACGCAGUGUGUGUGCUGGUUACGUCGUAGUCAUAUAAUUGCGACAGUCGCGAGUCGCGAAUGAUCUACGAUCAAUGAUCGCAACACGUAUAGGGUAUUGUAUCAAUACACAAAAUGCAGAAUAAUUACGACGUGAAAGCCAGUGGUGAUGCCACCACUGUCACAACAGUGCCACAUCAACGUAUGCACGAAGCAGAAAAUAAAAGGGCCACUGAGAACACCUCCUUAUCUCCGAACAACAAUCAGACCUAUUUUGCUGAUGAAAGAGUGCCAGUGCCAGAAAUAGCAAGUGCAGGAUUUAGUUUUAGGAAAUUAUGGGCUUUCACAGGACCUGGUUUUUUAAUGUCUAUAGCUUAUUUGGACCCUGGUAACAUAGAAUCAGAUCUACAAUCUGGAGUGGUAGCAAGAUAUAAGUUAUUAUGGGUGUUAUUAAGCGCUACACUCUUAGGUCUUGUUAUGCAAAGACUCAGUGCGCGUCUUGGUGUAGUAACUGGUCUACAUCUAGCAGAAAUGUGUUACAGACAAUACAAAAAAGUACCUAGAUUUAUUUUAUGGAUAAUGAUUGAAAUAGCUAUUAUCGGUAGCGAUAUGCAAGAGGUAAUAGGAACGGCUAUUGCCCUUUAUCUCUUAUCAAAUAAAGCGAUUCCUAUAUGGGGUGGUGUACUUAUUACAGUAAUAGAUACAUUUACAUUUUUAUUCUUGGAUAAAUACGGUUUGCGGAAAUUAGAGCUUUUUUUUGGUGUUCUCAUUUCUGUCAUGGGUAUUACCUUUGGUUAUGAGUACAUUGUUUCCGAACCUUCUCAAAUAGACGUUAUAACUGGUAUGUUUGUCCCAUGGUACAAUGGGAUGAAUUACGACAACAAGGUAUUACUUCAAGCUGUAGGAAUCGUUGGCGCGGUCAUUAUGCCGCAUAAUUUAUACCUUCACAGUGCCUUAGUCAAAUCGAGAGAUAUCGAUCGAAGACAACCCGCAAAAAUCAAAGAUGCGAAUAUGUAUUACUUUAUUGAGGCCUGCAUUGCAUUGUUUGUUUCAUUUAUAAUUAAUGUGUUUGUAGUGGCUGUAUUUGCUCAUGGCCUUUUUGACAAAACAAACAAUGAUGUUUACAAAAUUUGCGAGGCGAAUAAUUAUACCCUCGGCAUGGAGACUUUUAAAGAGAAUAAUGCGACGAUAGAUGCUGAUCUUUACAAAGGAGGGAUCUUCCUCGGUUGUUCCUUUGGCGCAGCCGCGAUGUAUAUAUGGGCCGUCGGUAUUUUGGCCGCCGGUCAGUCGUCUACAAUGACGGGCACUUAUGCCGGUCAGUUCGCAAUGGAAGGAUUCCUGAAUCUGCAAUGGGCUCGUUGGAAGCGAGUUCUCUUCACUCGAACGAUCGCUAUAGUUCCUACGUUCUUAGUAGCGUUCUUCGCCGAUAUGGACAAUUUGAGUGGCAUGAACGAUAUCUUGAACGCUAUAAUGAGUUUGCAAUUACCAUUUGCCACCUUACCUACAAUUGCUUUUACGAGUAGUGUUCAGAUUAUGGGUGAAUUUCGAAACGGAAUAAUAAACAAGAUUGUGUCGACCGCACUAUCGAUUCUAGUUAUAAUGAUAAAUAUAUAUUUCGUGAUACAAACUGUUCAAGAAGACCUGCCCCAACAUUGGGCUGUAUUUCUAGGCAUGUCUAUAUAUGCGAUUUUAUAUCUUAUUUUCUGCGCCUACUUGGCUAUUCAUAUGGCUGUGAGCAUGGGUGCAACUUCUCUCGGUAAUCAUUGGUUUGUUACUAAAUAUAUUGGUACACCUGUGAGCCCAACGCUUGGUAUAUCGAAUCCUGCUGUUUAUGCCAGUGAAAUAUUUUAAUCGGAAAAUUGUAUGUGAAGAACUAAUAUGAUUUUGUGUGUAUAAUUAUACACAAAAUGUUUAGUGCAAUUGAAUAAUUUUAUGAAGAAAAUUAUUUGUUGGUGUAUAUGUAUGUGUAUAUUUGAUAUAUAUGUCCCUCUUAUGUUGCACGAUUCGGCAUGUACAUACACUAACAAUUUUUUGUAUAGAACUUACUUUUUUUGCAAAAUGUAAAUUUACGCAAAUAAAAUAUAUCAUUUUUUACUAUAUAAAAUAAAUUUGAAAACAACAAGAUGUGUUUUUAAAAUUUAAAACUAACAAACUUAAUAAAAUGCUUAAUUUGGUGCUUGAAUAUAUAUUUUUCCUAAGACCAAAGGUUGUGGGAAAUAUGUGUUGUGGGAAUGAUUAGUGGGAAUAUAAAGUUUGCUCUAUAGUGUAAUUUUUGUGCCGAAUUAACACAGAUAAUUGCAAGCGAUGAGCCAACUGAUUUGUGACUCACACCAUGCUUUUUGCACCUUUCUACCGUAAACGAUAAUUAACUCUGCAUUAUCUACACUAAUGAGAUUGAAUUUCAAUGUUUGCACUUGUUUGGCCAGGUCAUGCAACUAAAUCAUAAUUUGGUAUGCCAAGUGCUCUAUUUGCUACAAGUUUUCACAAUACGUUGGAAACAUCGUUAAACAUUUAGUCGGAAUAAUGCAAUUGAAUAUGCGAGACAAUAUGCGACUCUUGUAUAUUCCACAAACAUGCGAAUAUGUCACGUUGGAAAGGUGUUUGUAAUAUCUCGUGACGUCAGCAUGUGAUGCUCCAUGGUAUGUGUACGAUCAGUUAUUCUCGAUAUAUUGUGCGAAAAAAAUAUAUUCUUAUAUUAAACAAAUGAUGCUUUAUCAUUGUGAUAUGCUUUAUCUCCAUUAUGCAAUGAUAAUUCUGCUAUAGCGUGAAAUAUCUUUGUUGUUCUACUGUCAAUUUCUUCGUUUGGUUCCAUUAAUUCUUAUUAAUGUGUCUCUAAAAGAAACUCAUGUAUGACGAGUGAUUAACUGGAACUAUUUUCGUUGCAUGCAAAAAUUUUUAACACACGAAAGUCUGAGCUUGAAACGUUGACUUGUCUCGUCAUAAUGAAGGUAAGGAUGCUACAUCGAGAUUUAUAGUGUUGUCUUGAUUCAACUUGGAUCUAUUUCAAGACAUAUAUUUAAAGUAUCUUAAAUGUUAAAUAUAUUGCAGAACAAAUCCAGCAUUCACCAUUCAAGAAAGUUUGCGUGGCAGUUUUACAUCAAUAGCAGAAUACUAACUCAUUAGCGACAACUAUAUCUGCAAUGAGAUUAUGUUCAAGUGAUAAACGUCUUCAAUUAUACAAGAGAUAACUUUUACUGCCUUGAAGAAGAAAUAUUGACAUUCCUUUAUUAAAAACACAUUUAUUUUGAAUAGGAUAAUUUAUUACAUCAAGGAAGAACAUUGGAUAAUUUAGACAGUAAAUUAGCACAUAUUGAUUAAGAUAAAUAACGUAACAUCUGAAUCUUAUAUAUUUGACAAUCAAUUUUUAUUCGAAUAUUUUUGCUUUAAUGAUAUAUUUCAUAAGUUUUUGACAUAUGUGUAUAAAAAUUUUCGAUGUUGCAAAAUAUCUAUAUUAAAAUGUUACUUUUACA